rnacentral:rRNA from 1 species
AAAAGAUAGAGUUUGAUCAUGGCUCAGGAUGAACGCUAGCGGCAGGCUUAACACAUGCAAGUCGAGGGGCAGCAUAGGUACUUGUACCUGAUGGCGACCGGCGCACGGGUGAGUAACGCGUACACAAUCUACCUUCAACAGGGGGAUAGCCUCGGGAAACUGAGAUUAAUACCCCAUGGUUCCUAAGGAUGGCAUCAUUCUAAGGAUAAAGUUCCGACGGUUGAAGAUGAGUGUGCGUCCUAUUAGCUUGUUGGUAAGGUAACGGCUUACCAAGGCGACGAUAGGUAGGGGGCGUGAGAGCGUGACCCCCCACACGGGUACUGAGACACGGACCCGACUCCUACGGGAGGCAGCAGUAAGGAAUAUUGGACAAUGGUCGAAAGACUGAUCCAGCCAUCCCGCGUGCAGGAAGACGGCCCUUUGGGUUGUAAACUGCUUUUAUUUGGGAAGAAUAGCAUUGAUUUAUCAGUGUGUGACGGUACCUUAUGAAUAAGCACCGGCUAACUCCGUGCCAGCAGCCGCGGUAAUACGGAGGGUGCAAGCGUUAUCCGGAUUCACUGGGUUUAAAGGGUGCGUAGGCGGCCAGAUAAGUCAGAGGUGAAAGGCUCCCGCUCAACGGGAGGAUUGCCUUUGAAACUGUUUGGCUUGAAUUAGGUUGAGGUAGGCGGAAUGUGACAUGUAGCGGUGAAAUGCUUAGAUAUGUCAUAGAACACCAAUUGCGUAGGCAGCUUACUAGACCUAUAUUGACGCUGAGGCACGAAAGCGUGGGUAGCGAACAGGAUUAGAUACCCUGGUAGUCCACGCCCUAAACGAUGCUAACUGGACGUGUGAUCUUAAGAUUGCGCGUCUGAGGGAAACCAUUAAGUUAGCCACCUGGGCGAGUACGUUCGCAAGAAUGAAACUCAAAUGAAUUGACGG